GGGCAUUGGCUGGGGUGCCGUGCGGGAUGCGCUCACGCGGCUGAGAUCACACCCAUCGAACCUGUCUGGAUAAUGCCAGCGAAGGGAGCCGCCGCAUGGUAUCC
rfam:Azospirillum brasilense Sp245 plasmid AZOBR_p4 complete genome